CCUACGGGAGGCAGCAGUGGGGAAUAUUGGGCAAUGGAGGCAACUCUGACCCAGCAACGCCGCGUGAAUGAUGAAGGUCUUCGGAUUGUAAAGUUCUGUGAUGGGGGAUGAACACAAUGACGGUACCCCAAUAGCAAGCCACGGCUAACUACGUGCCAGCAGCCGCUGUAAUACGUCGGUGGCAAGCGUUAUCCGGAAUGACUGGGCGUAAAGGGUUCGUAGGUGGUUUAGUAAGUUGGCGGUGUAAUUCCGGGGGCGAACCUCGGCCGUACCGCUAAAACUGGCAGACUAGAGUGCAGGAGGGGUAAGUGGAAGUGCUAGUGUAGCGGUGGAAUGCGUAGAUAUUAGGAGGAACAUCAGGUGCGAAGGCGACUUACUGGCCUGUGACUGACACUGAGGCACGAAAGCGUGGGGAGCAAACAGGAUUAGAUACCCGUGUAGUC
rnacentral:rRNA from 1 species